AUUCUUCUCUUACACUUCAACUUCCCAUUUAUUCUCUCUCUCACACUCCACUCUUUACAACACUCAAAAUCUCUCUUCCUCUCUCCAAACCCACGAAAUUCUCCAGCCAAGAACAGCUCUCAACCUUCAAAACUUCAUCUUCUAAGCUUGUUCUUCAAGGAUCCCGGUAGUAAGGCAUUGGUGUAUUCCGAGGCACCACUUGUACCUACUUGAAACAUGGAAAUAAUUAGUAAGUGUAUAUAAAGAUCCAUCAUCAUAGAGCAUGCUGCAACGUGUGGAAGUUAUUUUAUGAAGUUAUAUUUUGAACAAUGUGAUUUUCGAAAACUUGUACUUUGUUUUGUUUAAAUUAUGGGUUGUGAACUUUUAAAUAUUGCUAUGGUGAUGUAUCUUUUGCAAUGAAACCUUUAUCAUUGUCAUA